UCUGACUGUACGCCUACAUAAAGCAGCGCGCGGUGCGCUCGGCGGUGAGCAGCAUGAGUCUCACAGGGAAAGUCGCUCUGGUCACCGGCGGCGCACAAGGCAUCGGAAGAGCCGUGGUGGAACAUCUCCUGGAGAAUGGGGCGAAGGUUGCACUGGUAGACCUGAACCAAUCUGUGGGAGAGGAAUGUAAAAGUGAUCUAGAUGGCCAGUUUGGAGAGGGUAACUGUAUUUUUAUCCAGUGUGACGUGACUGACGCUGGGAAACUUAGAGAUGCCUUUAAAAAUACAGUAGAGAGGUUUGGUCGGUUGGAUAUUGUCAUCAAUAAUGCUGGAAUCAACAAUGAGAAGGACUGGGAAAAGACCAUUGAAGUAAAUUUGACAUCUGUCAUAAAGGGGACAUAUUUAGCACUAGAACACAUGAGUAAAGAGCACGGAAAAGAAGGAGGGGUUAUCAUCAACGUUUCGUCGAUGGCAGCAUUUCUUCAUUCUCCUCACCAGCCAGUGUACACAGCGACAAAGCAUGGGGUGAUUGGAUUUUCAAGAGCUAUUGCAGCUGACCGUGUUUGGACACGUUUUGUUGUCGGCAGGACGCAUCUGAACAGGGCAAUUAUGGAGUGAGGAUCAACACACUGUGCCCAGCCUUCGUGGACACCCAACUCCUUCACACUGUGGAGCAUGAGGAAACAAUGGGCAAGUUUGUCAAGUACAAAGAUGAAUUCAAGCAGAGGAUCAACAAGUAUGGCGUUCUUAAACCAUCUCUGAUUGCAGAAGGAAUGCUACGAAUCAUACUAGAUGAAAGCCUAAACGGAGCCGUGAUGAAGAUCACCUGUUCUAAAGGCAUUCACUUUCACACCUAUGAGCCUCUUUCCGCUUAAAAGUGAUGCCUUCAUCAAACAUGUCUGCCUUUUUCCUCUUCUCUCCAUUCCUCACCAGAACAUUUAUUUUAUUGAAAUCACCUCAAACAGCUA